rnacentral:misc_RNA from 1 species
CAACCCUCAAGCUCAGCUUGGUAUUGGGUGUCACCAGGCAAUGGUGCACCUCAAAAUCAGUGGCGGUGCCGUCUGGCUUCAAGCGUAGUAAAUCUCUCGCUUUGGAGUUUGGAUAUGUGCUUUGCCACCAACCCCUAAUUUAUCAAA